rnacentral:rRNA from 1 species
AAAAGGCAUCUUUUUGUUUUUAAAAGACCUUCUUACGAAGGUAUGCUUAAAGAGGGGCUUGCGCCACAUUAGUUAGUUGGUAGAGUAAAAGCCUACCAAGACGAUGAUGUGUAGCUGGACUGAGAGGUUGAACAGCCACAUUGGGACUGAGACACGGCCCAAACUCCUACGGGAGGCAGCAGUAGGGAAUUUUCGGCAAUGGAGGAAACUCUGACCGAGCAACGCCGCGUGAACGAUGAAGUAUUUCGGUAUGUAAAGUUCUUUUAUUGAAGAAGAAAAAGUAGUGGAAAAACUAUAUUGACGUUAUUCAAUGAAUAAGCCCCGGCUAACUAUGUGCCAGCAGCCGCGGUAAGACAUAGGGGGCGAGCGUUAUCCGGAAUUAUUGGGCGUAAAGGGUGCGUAGGCUGUUAGAUAAGUCUAUAAUUUAAUUUCAGUGCUUAACGCUGUCUUGUUAUAGAAACUGUCUUGACUAGAGUGAGAUAGAGGCAAGCGGAAUUCCAUGUGUAGCGGUAAAAUGUGUAAAUAUAUGGAGGAACACCAGAAGCGUAGGCGGCUUGCUGGGUCUUUACUGACGCUGAGGCACGAAAGCGUGGGUAGCAAACAGGAUUAGAUACCCUGGUAGUCCACGCCGUAAACGAUGAGUACUAAGUGUCGGGGUAAAACUCGGUACUGAAGUUAACACAUUAAGUACUCCGCCUGAGUAGUACGUACGCAAGUAUGAAACUUAAAGGAAUUGACGGGACUCCGCACAAGCGGUGGAUCAUGUUGUUUAAUUCGAAGAUACACGAAAAAUCUUACCAGGUCUUGACAUACUCUGCAAAGCUAUAGAAAUAUAGUGGAGGUUAUCAGGGAUACAGGUGGUGCAUGGUUGUCGUCAGUUCGUGUCGUGAGAUGUUAGGUUAAGUCCUAAAACGAACGCAACCCUUGUCGUUAAUUGCCAGCACAUAAUGGUGGGGACUUUAACGAGACUGCCAAUUAAACAUUGGAGGAAGGUGAGGAUUACGUCAAAUCAUCAUGCCCCUUAUGAUCUGGGCUACAAACGUGAUACAAUGGCUGUGACAAAGAGUAGCUGAAACGCGAGUUUUUAGCCAAUCUCAAAAAAGCAGUCUCAGUUCGGAUUGAAGUCUGUAACUCGACUUCAUGAAGUUGGAAUCGCUAGUAAUCGCGAAUCAGCAUGUCGCGGUGAAUACGUUCUCGGGGUUUGUACACACCGCCCGUCAAACCACGAAAGUUAGCAAUGCCCGAAAGCAGUAGCUUAACUUCGCAAGAAGAGGGAACUGUCUAAGGUAGGGUUGAUGAUUGGG